GAUUCAAAGCUCAACUACCAAAGCAGGACACCAAACCCCUUCUCCUCAAACUACCACCAAAGCGCACACGCACAAACACAUUUCACUGCGUGUCUGCUUAUUCACAUAUAUACACCAUAAUUACUCUGCUCAUCCAUAAUCAACCGCAUAAACCGUAAAUUGCACCUUAAUUCCGCAGCAAUGGCUUCCUUCUCUUCCAUUCAACCCGCCGCCGCUCAGCCGCCGUCCGCCACCGCCACCUCCACCCGCACAUCUCACCUCCUCCCGCACCACCCCGACCAAUUGUCGCUCCCCUCGCCGCCGCCGCCGCCUUCCCACCGCCGCCUCCGCCGCCGCCCGCACUGCAUCCGCGCAAUCGACGCCGCGCAGCCGUACGACUACGAGGCGUACCUGUUCAACCGGUUCAGCCAGUCGAGCAAGCUGAAAAUCGCCGUGGUAGGGUUCGGCAACUUCGGGCAAUUCCUGGCCAAGGCCUUCAUCCGCCAAGGCCACACCGUCUUCGCCCACUCCCGCUCGAACUACCACGCCGUGGCGCAGUCUCUUGGCGCCGCCUUCUUCCCCGACCCGCACGACCUCUGCGAGCAGCACCCCGACGUCAUCCUCAUCUGCACCUCCGUCAUCUCCACCGAAUCCGUCCUCCGCUCCCUCCCGCUCCAGCGCCUCCGCCGCAACACGCUCUUCGUGGACGUCCUCUCCGUGAAGGAAUUCCCCAAAAACAUCUUCCUGCAGGUCCUCCCGCACCACUUCGACGUCCUGUGCACGCACCCGAUGUUCGGCCCGGAGAGCGGGAAGGUGACGUGGCAGAACCUGCCGUUCGUGUUCGACAAAGUGAGGAUCGGGAACGAGGAGUCGAGAGUGAACCGCGUGGAGACGUUUUUGGACAUUUUCAAAAAGGAAGGGUGCACCAUGGUGGAGAUGAGCUGCGCGGAGCACGAUCGCUACGCCGCGGGCUCGCAGUUCAUCACGCACACCAUGGGGAGGAUCCUCGAGAAAUUGCAGCUCGAGAGCACUCCCAUCAACACCAAAGGCUACGAGACGCUGUUGAAUUUGGUGGAGAACACCGCCAGCGACAGUUUCGAUUUAUACUAUGGCCUUUUCAUGUAUAACAAGAAUGCCAUGGAGCAGCUUGAGAGAUUGGAUUUGGCGUUUGAGGCCUUGAAGACCGAGCUCUUCGGCCACUUGCACGAGGCCUUGAGGAAGCAGUUGUUUGGGAAGUCGGAGGAGGGAGGUCAUCGGAGGCCCAUGCUCGCCAAAUUGCCCAAGAAUGGGACUCCCUUGUUGCCACCUCAAUCAGAGGCCGUUGCCAACAAGAACAAUUAGGCUGCUUUGUGUUGUUAGGAUAGAAGAACAUAGCCACGGAGAUCCUCUCGGCCUCUGAGUUUAUAACUACUCUGUGCCAUAGACUUUUGAAUAUUCCAUUGCUCAGUAGCUGCAGGAAAACAAUCAGCAAGAACAUGUUACAAGAUCGUCUUCUCAAGAAUUGCUUUACUCCCUAAUCCGAGAACGAACAGUGCUUUAGGUAUUAUUGGAACGGAUAACCACUGAUUGUCUUUAAGUAUCUGAAGGCCUCGUACUUGGCUGUCCUGCAACAGAAGAGUUAUUCCAGUGCCAUCUGUGUGUGGACGGAGACCAAUAACCUG